UACGUAGGGGGCAAGCGUUGUCCGGAUUUAUUGGGCGUAAAGAGCGUGUAGGCGGCCAGACAGGUCCGUUGUGAAAAUUCGAGGCUCAACCUCGAACUUGCGGUGGGUACGGGCAGACUAGAGUGUGGUAGGGGAGACUGGAAUUCCUGGUGUAGCGGUGAAAUGCGCAGAUAUCAGGAGGAACACCGGUGGCGAAGGCGGGUCUCUGGGCAACAACUGACGCUGAGGAGCGAAAGCGUGGGGAGCGAACAGG
rnacentral:rRNA from 1 species